GAAAAACAAAAGCAGAAAUCUUUUCAGACACAGUGAAUAUGUAUUAAAAAGAAUUUUACAUUGAGGGAUCUUUUUGUUAUAUGAAGAAACGUUCUCCUGCAUGAGGAAAUCUCUGAGCAGAAUCUUCUUCAUACCUUGAAGCACGAGGCUCUGUAAAGAAGCUGGACAACAUGCCCAAUGCUAGUUUUAGAAGCCUGAGGAAAUCGUGGCUCCAGCCUCUGAACCACAAAGAGAACCAAGACCUUUCGUGACAAGGCAGAUCCAUCUUCCAGAGCCAGCAGAACCAGCUUUAAAGCCUCUUCUUGCAUAGCUGGUCCAAGGAACUGGCACCCUCUGGCUCUCACUGCAGCCCAGAGGUUGGAAGAGAGCUGCUGAGGAUUUUGAUGCUGAAGAAUGAGCUCUGUGACUGUUCUUUCACCAAGUGACCGUGCUGCACGCAUGGCUCUGAUCCGUCCUUCUUCCUCCACUAGCUGGCAGUGAACCAGUGUCACAAGCUUCCUUUGCAUAGGACGACUCAGGACACUCUGAGUAGUACUGUUCAGACCCACACCUCUUGCGCUGCUGAGUGGUUUGAGG
rnacentral:lncRNA from 1 species